UGCUGCUGUCGCCUUCAGCAUGACUGAAAGACGUUCUUGAUUUUCUUGGCCUCGAGGGACUUAAUACCUCUUCAUAAGUGUCGAUUUUAUUCUGGACAACGACUAAAUGAGUGAUAUCACUCCGGCAAAAGGGGCAUAGAGGAACCUUCUCACUAUUGCUAGCUGGAUUGGGUUUAUUGUGGCAGCAUAAGGCCAGAGUGCAAUGAGCACACAUCUGAUGACCGCACUUUUGUAUCUCAAUCGUGCAAGCUUGCUCAAAGCAGAUGCAACAUAGCUCGAAAUCACUGGCCUCAAAGUCAUCACUCUCGAGGCCAAAAUCACAAUGCGAAAGUGAUAUUUGUGAGACAGCUGUUUUUUCCAAUAUCAACUUCUCUCUAUCUUUGUUGGCCUCGAUCAGAGCAUUUUCUAGUAAAGCUUUUGCCUCAGCAUCAAGCUCAGUAAUGAACUUUAAAGGUGCUGGCCAGGUUAAAGGCUCUGGAGAUGAUGGAUUUAAAAGAGCAGCACAUGCUUCAUGCUUGUUCUUCAAAGCAACUAUGUAUGGAAUUCGCCCAGAAGAAUCUCUAUAAAGUCGAUCUGCACCCCAAGCAAGUAACUCACGUACACAGUCCAAAGAGCCUUCUCGAGCUGCUAAAUGCAGUGGUGUACUUCCUGGACGGCCAUAGCCACCACUAGAAGCACAGACAAGAGCCUCAUUGCUUAGAAGAAUCCGGACACAUGCUGGUCUACCAUGACGUGCUGCUAAAUGCAAUGGGGUUGCACCACUUCCAUCUCUUAUGUUCACAAAUCUCGCAAAUCCCCAAGAUUGAGCAACAGGAGCCGAAUGAGCGGAUGCAAGAAUAGAUUGUAGGCAGUCAGAGUGGCCAUGGUAAGCAGCGUAAUGCAAACAAGUUCUUCCAUGUAGUGAAUCAAACAUUAAAAUAUUAGCACCUAGCUGAAUUAGCCUCUCCACGCAGGACACAUUUCCAUGCAUAGCAGCUAACAUUAAUGGGGUCUGUUUGUGGCGAUUCAAGAUGUCUGGAUUAACUCCGCGAUCCAAAAGCAUACACAGAACCUCGAUCUGGCCAUUAACAGCAGCUACAUGAAGUGCAGAAAGCUUCCCACGAAGAGUUUUCAGUCUAAUCACAUUUGGAUUUUCAUCAACCAUAGCUUCAACUUUUUCAACCUCACCAUUUUGGACUGCAAUAAACAAUCCAUGUUCAUUAGAUUGCUGUCCACAGCUCAAUUUCUGCCCCAUCACCACCUCGCUGUUAGCAUUGAUAGUGAAGUAAACUCCCGGGGAGUGAAUAUCACGCGCCACCCACCACGGCGGAGGGGGGACGGUGGGGAGUGAAAUUAU
rnacentral:misc_RNA from 1 species